UAGUUUCAAAAAUAAACAAAAGACAGCUGUAAUUCCAGUUUAAGACUCAUCAAUGAUGCACACAGACAACGAUCAGCAACUGAUCACACCCAGUAGGGCGUCCGUAUACAUUCUCAUGGCAUACAUAACAAAAGGGUGCAAACAUCAAUUAAUUGAUAAUGUUACACGUGUAAUUCCAUUACCAUGGAAGUUCUAUGAAAUUCAAAAAUUAAGUUAAAAAGAUUAAGAUGGUUGAUAUAUUUUCUGGACAUUAGCAAAAAAGACAGCACCCAAACCUAAUUACCACUCAAUGGCAUUUACUCUUCUAUUACAUAUGCUACAUCCAUGCAAUCCAGUAAGGUUGUAAACAAAUAUCUAACAGGAAACAAACAGAAGACGAAUGCUUAUUUUCCAAAGUAGAUAUAAGAAUUUUAACUUGAAAAGUGUGACCAAUAUAGCCCUCGUUUGGCCCCCAUUCUUGGCAAAUUUUAAUGGUUGGAAUAGUGCUUUUUUGAAAAAUAUGUGGUUGAAAAGGAAUGAAAAGUUUUUGAUUUGCGUAUAAUAUUAUUUUAUGGAAGAUUGUGUGGUUGAAAAUAAGAGAGAGAAAAAGAAUGAGAAUGAGAAUGGG
rnacentral:lncRNA from 1 species